GGGGAAUAUUGGACAAUGGGGGCAACCCUGAUCCAGCAAUGCCGCGUGUGUGAAGAAGGUCUUCGGAUUGUAAAGCACUUUCGACGGGGACGAUGAUGACGGUACCCGUAGAAGAAGCCCCGGCUAACUUCGUGCCAGCAGCCGCGGUAAUACGAAGGGGGCUAGCGUUGCUCGGAAUGACUGGGCGUAAAGGGCGUGUAGGCGGUUUACACAGUCAGAUGUGAAAUCCCCCGGGCUUAACCUGGGAGCUGCAUUUGAUACGUGUAGACUAGAGUGUGAGAGAGGGUUGUGGAAUUCCCAGUGUAGAG
rnacentral:rRNA from 1 species